AACGAACGCUGGCGGCAUGCCUAACACAUGCAAGUCGAACGAGAUCUUCGGGUCUAGUGGCGCACGGGUGCGUAACGCGUGGGAAUCUGCCCUUUGGUUCGGAAUAACAGUUGGAAACGACUGCUAAUACCGGAUGAUGACGAAAGUCCAAAGAUUUAUCGCCAGAGGAUGAGCCCGCGUAGGAUUAGCUAGUUGGUGUGGUAGAGGCGCACCAAGGCGACGAUCCUUAGCUGGUCUGAGAGGAUGAUCAGCCACACUGGGACUGAGACACGGCCCAGACCCCUACGGGAGGCAGCAGUGGGGAAUAUUGGACAAUGGCGAAAGCCUGAUCCAGCAAUGCCGCGUGAGUGAUGAAGGCCUUAGGGUUGUAAAGCUCUUUUACCCGGGAUAAUAAUGACAGUACCGGGAGAAUAAGCUCCGGCUAACUCCGUGCCAGCAGCCGCGGUAA
rnacentral:rRNA from 1 species